rnacentral:lncRNA from 1 species
AUGGAGGCGGCGGGGCAACAUGGCGGCGAGGAAGAGGAGGAAGAAGAAGAUGAAGAGGAGCAAUGGCUGCUCGAGUCCCUUCAUAUGUACGAGGCCCUGCACGACUUCGAGCUGCAGAACCCGACCCGUGUUAUCGAAUGGGGCCCGGGGAACCGUGAGUGCGGAGGGGGCUGGGGGGUAAUGGGGUGUUAUGGGGUCUAUGGGGUCUAUGGGGUCUAUGGGGUGUUAUAGGGUCUAUGGGGUCUAUGGGGUNAGGGAAGGGAGGACACACGGGUGGGGGGAUUUGGGUUAUAUAAAGGGAGAUGUGGAUGUUUAGGGGGGAAUUGGGGUCUGGUUUAGGAAGAGACAACAUAUAAAUAGGGGGAUUUAGGGUCUUUAACGGAGAGACAACACGUAAAUAGGGGAAUUGGGGCCUUAUCUGGGAAGAGAGGAUACAGAGAUGUAGGAAUUGGGGUCUUAUUUAGGAAUAGAUGUCACAUAAAUAGGGGGAUUUAGGGUCUUUUAUGGAGAGACAACAUAUAAAUAGGGGAAUUGGGGCCUUAUAUAGGAAGAGAGGAUACACAGAUGUAGGAACUGGGGUCUUAUUUGGGAAGAAAUACAUAAAUAUGGGAUUUGGGGUCUUAUAUAGGAAGAGACAUCACAUAAAUAGGGGAUUUGGGUCUUAUUUAGGAAGAGACAACAUAUAAAUAGGGGGAUUUGGGGUCUUUUAUGAAGAGACAACACAUAAAUAGGGGAUUUGGGUCUUAUAUAGGAAGAGGGGAUACACAGAUGUAAGAAUUGGGUUCUUAUUUAGGAAUAGAUGUCACAUAAAUAGGGGAUUUGGGUCUUAUUUAUGGCGAGGAUGGACAAAUGUGGGAACUGGGUCUGAUUUAGGAAGAGACAUCACAUAAAUGGGUUUUGGGAUUUAGGGUUUUUUAUAGAGAGACAACAUAUAAAUAGGGGUAUUGGGGCCUUAUAUGGGAAGAGAGGAUCCACAGAUGUAGGACUUGGGGUCUUAUUUAGGAAUAGAUGUCACAUACAUAGGGGGAUUUGGGGUCUCUUAUAAAGAGACAACACAUAAAUAGGGGGAUUUCGGGUCUUUUAUGGAGAGACAACAUGUAAAUAGGGGAAUUGGGGUCUUAUAUAGGAAGAGAGGAUACAGAGAUGGAGGAAUUGGGGUCUUAUUUAGGAAUAGAUGUCACAUAAAUGGGGGGAUUUGGGUCCUAUUUAGGAAGAGACAUCACAUAAAUAG